AGCAUUUUCCUUUGCUGAUCUCUAGCCCCAGGAUACAAAAAUCCUUCAGCUCUUCAUCACAAUCAUCUCUCCUUAUCUCUUGUUAAAGAAAGCUAAUGCUCUGCAAAUGUCUGUGUGGAAGCAUCCCUUCCAUCUGCAUGUGGUUUUGGAAAAAACACAGGCCAUCUCAACAACCAUCUUGAAGAACCUGCAUGAGGUAAAUAACCUUCUCUUCCUCACUCAA